CAGCAGCCGCGGGAACACGAAGGGUGCAAGCGUUAAUCGGAAUUACUGGGCGUAAAGCGUGCGUAGGCGGUUUGUUAAGUCUGCUGUGAAAUCCCCGGGCUCAACCUGGGAAUGGCAGUGGAUACUGGCAAGCUAGAGUGUGUCAGAGGAUGGUGGAAUUCCCGGUGUAGCGGUGAAAUGCGUAGAGAUCGGGAGGAACAUCAGUGGCGAAGGCGGCCAUCUGGGACAACACUGACGCUGAGGUGCGAAAGCGUGGGGAGCAAACAGGAUUAGAUACCCCAGUAGUCCCUGUCUCUUAUAA
rnacentral:rRNA from 1 species